GCUUGUCUCAAAGAUUAAGCCAUGCACGUCUGAGAAUAAAGAGUUUUCUCUGAAUCUGCGAAUGGCUCAUUAUAUCAGUUAUAGUUUAUUUGAUAGUCCUUUACUACUUGGAUAACCGUAGUAAUUCUAGAGCUAAUACGUGCGUAAAUCCCGACUUCUGGAAGGGACGUAUUUAUUAGAUAAAAGGCCGACCGGGCUUGCCCGACUCGCGGUGAAUCAUGAUAACUUCACGAAUCGCAUGGCCUCGUGCCGGCGAUGUUUCAUUCAAAUUUCUGCCCUAUCAACUUUCAACCGUAAGGUAGUGGCCUACGGUGGUGGUAACGGGUGACGGAGGAUUAGGGUUCGAUUCCGGAGAGGGAGCCUGAGAGAUGGCUACCACAUCCAAGGAAGGCAGCAGG
rnacentral:rRNA from 1 species